rnacentral:rRNA from 1 species
GCUACACAUGCAGUCGAACGGUAACAGGACGCUAGGAUUUCUCCGGAAUGACUUUGUCCCUUUAAAGUGGCGGACGGGUGAGUAACGCGUGGGAAUUUCCCUUAAAAAGGGGGAUAAGCCAGGGAAACUUGGUCUAAUACCGCAUAAUCUCUGAGGAGGAAAGCGGGGGAUCUCCCGACAUCGUGCUAUUAGAUGAGCCCGCGUAAGAUUAGCUAGUUGGUGGGGUAAAUGCCUACCAAGGCGACGAUCUUUAGCUGGUCUGAGAGGAUGAUCAGCCACAUCGGGACUGAGACACGGCCCGAACUCCUACGGGAGGCAGCAGUGGGGAAUAUUGGACAAUGGGGGCAACCCUGAUCCAGCCAUGCCGCGUGUGUGAAGAACGCUUUCGGGUUGUAAAGUUCUUUAAGCAAGGAGGAAAGGUGUGUAGUUAAUAGCUGCAUGCUGUGACGUUACUUGCACAAUAAGCACCGGCUAACUCCGUGCCAGCAGCCGCGGUAAUACGGAGGGUGCAUGCGUUAAUCGGAAUUACUGGGCGUAAAGCGCGCGUAGGUGGUUUGUUAAGUUAGAUGUGAAAGCCCUGGGCUCAACCUAGGAACUGCAUCUGAUACUGGCAGGCUAGAGUGUGGUAGAGGAAGGUAGAAUUUCUAGUGUAUCGGUGAAAUGCGUAGAUAUUAGAAGGAAUACCAGUGGCUAAUGCGGCCUUCUGGACCAACACUGAGACUGAGGAGCGAAAGCGUGUGUACCGAACGGCCAUUACAUACCCCGGUAUUCCACGCCGUAAACGAUGUCUACUCGUCGUUGGGGGACUUGAUUCCUUA